rnacentral:rRNA from 1 species
GUGGGGAAUCUUCCGCAAUGGACGAAAGUCUGACGGAGCAACGCCGCGUGAGUGAUGAAGGUCUUCGGAUUGUAAAGCUCUGUUAAUCGGGACGAAAGAGCCUAGUGUGAAUAAUGCUAGGAAGUGACGGUACCGGAAUAGAAAGCCACGGCUAACUACGUGCCAGCAGCCGCGGUAAUACGUAGGUGGCAAGCGUUGUCCGGAAUUAUUGGGCGUAAAGUGCGCGCAGGCGGAUCUGCCAGUCUGUCUUAAAAGUUCGGGGCUUAACCUCGUGAUGGGAUGGAAACUACAGAUCUAGAGUAUCGGAGAGGAAAGUGGAAUUCCUAGUGUAGCGGUGAAAUGCGUAGAUAUUAGGAAGAACACCAGUGGCGAAGGCGACUUUCUGGACGAAAACUGACGCUGAGGCGCGAAAGCCAGGGGAGCGAACGGGAUUAGAAACCCGAGUAGUCC